UUUAUUGAAGUAGCUUGUGUUUAGUAUGGGUUAGAAACAAAAUAAUUAAUUAUAGAGAAUGAGUAUUGUUAAAGAAUUAAAUAAAUUUAUUAGAAAGAAUAUUUUAAUUAUAGUAUCUUGUGUAUUAGAGUUUAUUAAAAUUUUUUAAGGAUUUAGAUGUCUCGAAAUUUUAGGGGUAUAUUUAAUUAUUGUUAAUGUUUUAUAAUUAUAAUUAAGUUAAAUAUAGGAAUGAAAAGUUAAUCGUUUAAAAUUAUAUCUAGUUUUUUUAGAAAAAAUUUAAUUUUGUUUAAUAUAUAAUUGAUGUAUUUAGUUAAUAAAUUUAUAUUAUGAUAAUUUUAUAGGGAUAAGCUUAUGAAAUUGGUUAAAUUUUUAAAAAAUUAAUUUAAGUAAGUAGGAUUAAAAUUGGCAUUUUUUAUAGUUUAUUAUAAAUAAAUUAAUAUUAUUAAAGAUUUUUUUUUAAUUAGCUUUGCAUAUAAAAAUAUAUUUUAAAAUAAAAUUUAAGUAGAAAAAAUGAUAAAAUUAGUAAAUUAAGAUAAAAUUAUAUAAAUAAUUUUAAAAAUUAUAUUUAUGAACUAGGCAAAUUUAUUUUCACCUGUUUAUUAAAAACAUGGUUGUUUGAAGUGAAUAAAUGAUCAGGUCUGCCCAUUGAGAUUUAAAAGGCUGCAGUAUAUUGACUGUACAAAGGUAGCAUAAUCAUUAGUUUUUUAAUUGAAAACUUGUAUGAAUGAUUUAAUGAGAAAUAAGCUUUAUUAAUAUGAGUAAUUGAAGUUUAUAUUUGAGUGAAAAAGCUUAAAUUUAAGAGAAAGACGAUAAGACCCUAUAAAAUUUUAUUAAUAAAGUAGUUUAUAAUUAAUAUAUUAAUUUAGUUGGGGCAAUUAAAAGAUUUAAUUCUUUAAAAGAUAAAUUAUGAUGGUAAUAAUUAGGAUCCUUGGUUUGGGAUAUAAGAAAAAAUUGCUUUAGGGAUAACAGGGUAAUGAUUUUUUAUAGUUCAUAUAGAAAAAAGAGUUUGCGACCUC
rnacentral:rRNA from 1 species